GAUGAACGCUGGCGGCGUGCCUAAUACAUGCAAGUCGAGCGAACGGACGAGAAGCUUGCUUCUCUGAUGUUAGCGGCGGACGGGUGAGUAACACGUGGAUAACCUACCUAUAAGACUGGGAUAACUUCGGGAAACCGGAGCUAAUACCGGAUAAUAUUUUGAACCGCAUGGUUCAAAAGUGAAAGACGGUCUUGCUGUCACUUAUAGAUGGAUCCGCGCUGCAUUAGCUAGUUGGUAAGGUAACGGCUUACCAAGGCAACGAUGCAUAGCCGACCUGAGAGGGUGAUCGGCCACACUGGAACUGAGACACGGUCCAGACUCCUACGGGAGGCAGCAGUAGGGAAUCUUCCGCAAUGGGCGAAAGCCUGACGGAGCAACGCCGCGUGAGUGAUGAAGGUCUUCGGAUCGUAAAACUCUGUUAUUAGGGAAGAACAUAUGUGUAAGUAACUGUGCACAUCUUGACGGUACCUAAUCAGAAAGCCACGGCUAACUACGUGCAAGCAGCCGCGGUAAUACGUAGGUGGCAAGCGUUAUCCGGAAUUAUUGGGCGUAAAGCGCGCGUAGGCGGUUUUUUAAGUCUGAUGUGAAAGCCCACGGCUCAACCGUGGAGGGUCAUUGGAAACUGGAAAACUUGAGUGCAGAAGAGGAAAGUGGAAUUCCAUGUGUAGCGGUGAAAUGCGCAGAGAUAUGGAGGAACACCAGUGGCGAAGGCGACUUUCUGGUCUGUAACUGACGCUGAUGUGCGAAAGCGUGGGGAUCAAACAGG
rnacentral:rRNA from 1 species